GUCACACCCACAUAACAAGUACUAAUUCUUUCUUUCAUUAUCAAAGAUCUGUCAUUUUAUAGACAAAUUAUAAAAAGCUUGAACAUAAAUUGUUAAAUUUUCUGUACUACUAGUUUGCUUAAUAUCUUAUGUAAAAUGGAUGGAACAUCGAAACAAAUUCAUGAACCAAAAGUCAAGUUUUUAUGAAGUUCAAUGUGAAGGUUUGAUAA
rnacentral:misc_RNA from 1 species